GGCCUAACACAUGCAAGUCGAAUGGUAACAGGAAACAGCUUGCUGUUUCGCUGACGAGUGGCGGACGGGUGAGUAAUGUCUGGGAAACUGCCUGAUGGAGGGGGAUAACUACUGGAAACGGUAGCUAAUACCGCAUAACGUCGCAAGACCAAAGAGGGGGACCUUCGGGCCUCUUGCCAUCAGAUGUGCCCAGAUGGGAUUAGCUAGUAGGUGGGGUAACGGCUCACCUAGGCGACGAUCCCUAGCUGGUCUGAGAGGAUGACCAGCCACACUGGAACUGAGACACGGUCCAGACUCCUACGGGAGGCAGCAGUGGGGAAUAUUGCACAAUGGGCGCAAGCCUGAUGCAGCCAUGCCGCGUGUAUGAAGAAGGCCUUCGGGUUGUAAAGUACUUUCAGCGGGGAGGAAGGGAGUAAAGUUAAUACCUUUGCUCAUUGACGUUACCCGCAGAGGAAGCACCGGCUAACUCCGUGCCAGCAGCCGCGGUAAUACGGAGGGUGCAAGCGUUAAUCGGAAUUACUGGGCGUAAAGCGCACGCAGGCGGUUUGUUAAGUCAGAUGUGAAGUCCCCGGGCUCAACCUGGGAACUGCAUCUGAUACUGGCAAGCUUGAGUCUCGUAGAGGGGGGUAGAAUUCCAGGUGUAGCGGUGAAAUGCGUAGAGAUCUGGAGGAAUACCGGUGGCGAAGGCGGCCCCCUGGACGAAGACUGACGCUCAGGUGCGA
rnacentral:rRNA from 1 species